AGAGUUUGAUCCUGGCUCAGGAUGAACGCUAGCGGCAGGCUUAACACAUGCAAGUCGAGGGGCAGCACAGGUAGCAAUACUGGGUGGCGACCGGCGCAAGGGUGCGUAACGCGUGAGCAACAUGCCCGUAUCAGGGGGAUAAUCCAUGGAAACGUGGUCUAAUACCCCAUAGUAAGUUUUUGAGGCAUCUCAAGGAUUUUAAAGCUUUGGUGGAUACGGAUUGGCUCGCGUGACAUUAGCUGGAUGGUAGGGUAACGGCUUACCAUGGCUACGAUGUCUAGGGGUUCUGAGAGGAAGGUCCCCCACACUGGAACUGAGACACGGUCCAGACUCCUACGGGAGGCAGCAGUGAGGAAUAUUGGACAAUGGAUGGAAAUCUGAUCCAGCCAUGCCGCGUGCAGGAAGACGGCCCUAUGGGUUGUAAACUGCUUUUGUAUGGGAGCAAUAAGAUCUACGUGUAGAUUGAUGAGAGUACCAUACGAAUAAGCACCGGCUAACUCCGUGCCAGCAGCCGCGGUAAUACGGAGGGUGCAAGCGUUAUCCGGAUUUAUUGGGUUUAAAGGGUGCGUAGGCGGUUUGAUAAGUCAGCGGUGAAAUAUUUCAGCUUAACUGGAAGGGUGCCGUUGAUACUGUCGAGCUUGAAUUUAGUUGCUGUGGGUGGAAUGUGUGGUGUAGCGGUGAAAUGCAUAGAUAUCACACAGAAUAUCGAUUGCGAAGGCAGCUCACAAAGCUAAUAUUG
rnacentral:rRNA from 1 species